rnacentral:rRNA from 1 species
AUUGAACGCUGGCGGCAGGCUUAACACAUGCAAGUCGAGCGGGGUGAUGGUGCUUGCACUAUCACUUAGCGGCGGACGGGUGAGUAAUGCUUAGGAAUCUGCCUAUUAGUGGGGGACAACAUCUCGAAAGGGAUGCUAAUACCGCAUACGUCCUACGGGAGAAAGCAGGGGAUCACUUGUGACCUUGCGCUGAUAGAUGAGCAUAAGUCGGAUUAGCUAGUUGGUGGGGUAAAGGGCUACCAAGGCGACGAUCUGUAGCGGGUCUGAGAGGAUGAUCCGCCACACUGGGACUGAGACACGGCCCAGACUCCUACGGGAGGCAGCAGUGGGGAAUAUUGGACAAUGGGGGGAACCCUGAUCCAGCCGUGCCGCGUGUGUGAAGAAGGCCUUAUGGUUGUAAAGCACUUUAAGCGAGGAGGAGGCUCUUUUGGUUAAUACCCAAGAUGAGUGGACGUUACUCGCAGAAUAAGCACCGGCUAACUCUGUGCCAGCCGCCGCUGUAA